rnacentral:rRNA from 1 species
UUGAACGCUGGCGGCAGGCCUAACACAUGCAAGUCGAGCGGUUGAGAGUAGCUUGCUACUUGAUGCAGCGGCGGACGGGUGAGUAACGCGUGGGAAUCUGCCCAGUAGUGGGGGACAACAGCCGGAAACGGCUGCUAAUACCGCAUACGCCCUACGGGGGAAAGGGGGGGAUCUUCGGACCUCUCGCUAUUGGAUGAGCCCGCGUCGGAUUAGCUAGUUGGUAGGGUAAAGGCCUACCAAGGCUACGAUCCGUAACUGGUCUGAGAGGAUGAGCAGUCACACUGGAACUGAGACACGGUCCAGACUCCUACGGGAGGCAGCAGUGGGGAAUAUUGGACAAUGGGGGAAACCCUGAUCCAGCCAUGCCGCGUGUGUGAAGAAGGCCUUAGGGUUGUAAAGCACUUUCAGUGGGGAGAAAGGUUUGUCACCUAAUACGUGAUGAAAUUGAUGUUACCCACAGAAGAAGCACCGGCUAACUCCGUGCCAGCCGCCGCAGUAAUAC